UGGCCCAUAUCGCUGCUCGGGUGCCUUCUCCUGUCGUUAUCCUUCACCUCGUGGAAUAGUCCCAGCCACGGAACAACUCUGCUUCUCGGCUCCCCUGUCUCUCCCUGGCCGACGGCGGCGCCGCCGCUCUCCGGCAAGAUGUUUGGGGUCUACUACGACAUGUAUGUAUAUUACUCCCCCCUUCAUUCUGAUGUCCUGACAUGCUUAAUCGCCCGGCAUACUUUGUGGAUUUGGAUUUGGUUGUCCACGCCGCCUGCUUAUCUUUCAGAUCCAGUCCGUCUGCUUCACCAUGCCGGAGUCUAUGGAAGGCUUCCACUGAUUCUCCUCUACAGCAUGUUCUUAUUGUUUUGGUUUUCCUCGUUCGCGGGCUGCCAGUUCUGGACACUGACCCUCUAGCCAUGAUGAGGCCGGUCAAGAAGUAGCAGGCUUCUCUUAGCAUUGCCAAUGAGGAAAUCUGUCGUGCCGGGAAACUAUGCCAGGCAAAGUGUUAGAUUCCCCCUGAAUUCGAUGGGAUUCAUGUGUGAUUUGAAGCUACCAGCGGCUGGACCGGAGGUUUGGGAUGUUGGGAGCAGCAGUGAAGCGUGAGGUCGAUCCAAACAGAAUGAGUACUUUGGAAAUGUCAAUUAGGUCAUUUAUAACCAAGCGGGAAGUAUCCCAAGCAUCUCUCCAGACUGCUUAGGUGCAAAAUGAAAAUUAGAUACUAAGACUAGCUAGAUGUAGUUCCCCUGAUAUGUUAUAGAUUGUUCAGUGCUUACUAUGCUUGGUAUUUGAUAUGGAGGUGAUUUGCAAAUUCUGGGAUAUUAGGAGCGCAUGGCAUCGGUACUCGUUUUGUUGCAGGUGUCGGCCUAAACAAAUUUGUGUUAGAGGCCGCGUUGGUGGCACAAACGAGUUACUUGCUGAUGUUUUCUUCCGGUCACACCUGAAAACACAAUUGUGCAUUUUAUUUUUUGGUAUUGAAAAAAUCAAGUAAGCUGUCAUUUGGCUAAACUUUGUCAAUGACUGAAUUUAGGAUUUUUAUGUACUAACCAAUGCACCGGGGGAUGAAAUUUCGUCACCUCCCAGGUUGACAGAGAUGGAAUAAACCACCUUUUUCAUAGAUUCACAUUCGAAGAGUGCUAUGCGUCGGCACGUUGCGGGUUUAUUGUUAAUUUGUACUUUACAACAUUAAAUAAACCCACUAAUUAUCAUGCGGAUCAUGUUCUAUCUCUGAGUGUUUACGUGGAACCAUCAAGAGUCCAGUGAGAGAGACUAAUAUUCUGAUGGACUGCUAUAGUUGAGACAGUAGCAUGGUUGGCGGGAGCGUGCGUAACCUGGAACAUCGUCAGGGCCUAUUGCAAGAGCUAGAUUCCCGAGAGUGGAUGUCCUGCACGCAGCGGCAGCUGCACGCAGCUAUCCGGCCGCACCCGAGUUGCACGGUGAUGCGUGCAGUUUGAUUUGCAAAAGCGCUAAAGCAGUGAUACAUAGUGUAAUACAGAGAGAUACACUGCGUCGGGACCGUGCAGUGGGCUCGGUCCGUGGUACUUGUCUGGCGCGGACAAGAGACGUACCCCGCGCGUGGUGCAGAGUGGGCCAUCGGUUCUCUGCACGGCUGGCCCCGGUCGUCUGAAGCUAUGUACGGGACUGGGCCUUGUGGUUAGUCGCAUUUGGUGCGUCUCGCACGAAUUCCUUUCCCCGUCUUGGUGGUUGGUGGGCGAAGAGCAAGGUGAGCUGCGAGAACAGCACCGGCGCCGGGGCUGCUUCCUGUUCCGGCUGUCGAUGCUCAUGCCGAACCUCGGAGUGACGACGGAGGCGGGGUUGGACUCUGGAACGAUCUCAACGGCAACGGGUCCAGAGGCGUGCGAGCCGCCGUUCGUUUUGGGCGAGGGCGGUGACACUUCUCGCCGGAUUCGGCCGUCGAAGCGCCCUCGCCGGACAUUCGUCUGUUGGAUCAAGUGGUGGACUUGGCUGAUGUCCAGUCGUCCAGUGCUUCCUGCAAGAGCUUCAGUGCUGGUGGCGGAGAUGUGGCAUCCGCAAACCCUGGGUGCGCGACUCAUGCCGUCGUCUCGCACACAUCCGCCGAGUCCAGCCGCCGCAGUGCCGCGUCGGAUUCCUGCACGGCAUUCAGUUCUGGGGGCGUGUACCUGCCGUCGGCGCGAGACUGUGACAAUACGCCGACCAAGAGGUCCUCGUGCGCCAGAUGAGAGAUCUGUAGUAGUUGAUCGUGUGCCGCCGCUUGAAGCUGCAAUUAGAGGAUUCGCUGAUAGGGGGACUGAGGUGGUCGUCAACCCGGUGCUUGGCACCAUUUUUGAUUCGCUGGCAGAGGCGUACGAAUUCUACAAUCUCUAUUCCUGGGUUGACAAAUACAAGCUUCACAACAACACUUUCCUCAUACAAAUUUUCGAGGUUCGUCACAAGUGGGCGAAGCCUUAUUUUAGUGGCAAGUUAUGUGCGAAGCAAACCAGUACGCAAAGAAGCGAGAGUGCAAACCAUUUGUUGAAAGGCUACAUCCCGCCUGCAUGCCCCAUGAACCUUUUUGUGAAGCAAUAUAGCAAAUUGCAGUUCGACUGAAGCUGAAGAAGGAUUCCAAGAGAAGAGAACGAGGCUGGGCGGGGUAGUUCUCCGAUACAAUUACCCUUUGGAGGAGCAUGCAAGUAAAGUCUAUACCCGGACAAUGUACGAGAUGUUUGGCCAGGCUUUGUAUCGCUCUGGUAGGUAUGAUGUUGAGGAAGUUGAGCGGGGCAUCACCUACCACGUGCGACAUGUUGAAGCUGAGAAGCGAGAGAAGUGGUGCCGUGAAAUGCAUGUGGUCAGUGUCCAUGAUGGCUGUGCUAGGUACACAUGCGAAUGUGGGCUCUUCGAGCACAUGGGGAUGCUUUGUUGCCAUGCUAUCAAGGUUUUAAUUCAUUUGGGAGUGAGAAAAAUACCCAGAUUCCAUGUCAUGAAAAGGUGGACAGUAGAUGCCCGCGACAAUUCGCCACUUCACCUUCUCCAUUACCAAAAGGAUCAAGGGCCUCCGCGGUUAUCCUCCUACAGGCAUACAGCACUACACCUGACCGUGCUCGAGUUUGUCCAUCUUGGUGAUAGCAAUGUCGAUGCCUUUGAUAGAGCAAUGGACAUCUUGAUUGCAGGCAAGGCAGAGCUGACUGUUUUGGCGGCGGUCAAGGAUGGCAAAAGUUUGGUGGACCAAACUCAAAUUAGGGAAUCAGCCAAUCCCACUCAGAGGAUGGGCACAAGUUCUUCGCACCCAGACGACAUGUGUUCUCAGAUGUUCAUCUCCACCGAGUGUGGGCUUAGUUCAGUUUCUGGUGAAGCUGGCUCCAGUAUGUCACUGUCGACGUUGCUGCCGUCUGAUAGGAAGAAGCAGAAGGGUAGGCCAACCACAGCGAGGGACAAACCUGGAUAUGAGGUCAAGGACGCGCGAUCGAGGUUUUGUACGGUUUGUAGGGAGAAAGGGCACCCCGCAGGGGUGAUCUUCCGAAAAAACCUCGCAAAAUCCCUACCUGCGGCAAUUGCGGUGUAGCUGGGCACAAAAAAACCAGUUGUUUCAACCCGGUCUUGCCGUUUGUGAAGCGGCCUCGCGACGGGCCAGUAGAGUGAUGUUCGGUUCAGCGCUUGAAGCAGGUACUCCCUCCGUUAGGAAUUACUUGUCGCGAAAAUGGAUGUAUCUAGAACUAAAAUACGUUUAGAUACAUCCAUUUCUACGACGAGUAAUUCCAAACGGAGGGAGUAGUUGAAUCCAAAAAUCCAAUCCAGAGUAGUUCGAUUUCCUGCAUUUAUGCUUAAUUUGGGACUGUGAUCUGUUUUUCCAAUAAGCUUUGUGCCUUGCUGGAUGGCAGUUUAAUUUGAAUUCAUGCUAUUACUCUUA